rnacentral:lncRNA from 1 species
GAACACUUUCACUCUCCACUUGCUUUUCACAUUUUCUUCUUUCAUGUUCUGAAAUCUUCCAUUUUCUUACAUUUAACUCCGAACCAGAAUUUUUUCAUGACGGAACCACCGUGCCGGAACUCUUCUUCCGCCGUCAUCUUCUUCUCCUUCUGAUGUGAGUCUCCUAUUAAUUUUCUUUGUUCAAUUCAUGCUUCAAAACUAUAAAUUUUUGUUGAAAAUUUUAUAGUGUAAUUGUUAAAUCUGAAAAUUUGUUGUGUUGUUUGAAAUUAUCACCUUACUCAGUUUGUGUUACAAAAUCAAGAGACCAUUUGAAAAUUCUCCACUUCUGUUUUCUAUUUUUAAUCUAUGAAUCACAGAUACCGGAUAUGACACGGACACUUACAUGUCGAUGCCAAUAAUAUUUUAAGAAAAUGACAUAAUUUGACGUAAUUAUAUGUGCAGGUGUAGGACACCUGCGUGUGUUCGACACACCUAAUCCAAGGAGAGUCCAUGUUUCGUGGUUUGAGAUGUAUUUAAUUUUUCCAAGCUAUUCAUUUUGAUUUUGAUUUGGUCUCAAUUCUGACUUUGGGAUAGAUUGAGUAAACUUUAAUCUAUAUAAAUUUAAGAUAAUUACACAUGAAAGACAAGUGGGCAACAAGCUCCGCUAAUGUUGUGAUUAAUUUUUGGUUAAAUCUGAAACUUAGCUCAAUUUUGUUAAAUAUUGGUUAAAUAAUGUGAUUAAUUUCUGGUUUGGGUAUAUAUGUUUGCUGUUGUUGGAUUGUUAUGUCAUGUUUUGGACUGCUGAUCAUCCUCCCGUGCUGUUAGUCGGGAGCUUCACUACCUUAGGGAAGCUUUUUCGCGGUAGUUAGUCCUGCGCGGUUGUAAAGUGUGUUCUUGCAAACACCGUUUUAGGUUAACACUUGAUCAAAAAUGCUCUGAAGUCAAGUCUUAGAGGUAUAGUGAAUAUGUAAAAAGUGGUGAUCUGACCUAAUGGCACUAGGGUCCUAUAUAUAGGCCUUCAUCUAACGGAUAUGGCUAUCAUUUUGCCUAAAGGGUGAGGAGCGGUUAGCACCGCUCCGUCCCUUCGAUGUGUUCCCAUGUGUCCUAUUGUUUCGGACCUAUCCGCUUCUACACGACUUCAUCCAUCCUUAUCUAGGUUAUUUUACCCAUAGGAAAAGCAUGAGCUAGUCUUUUGGGCGUAUUGGGCUUCCUGUUAUAGAGGCGGGUCCAGCCCAACCAAAUUUCUGGGUCUCGCCCAGUCCAAAGUGAAAUCAGUAAAUUUAAGGUGGGGAAGAUAUGUAUUAGGUGUAGAAUUGGGAUAAUUUUUAGUUUUUUCUUAAACAGCGAAUGUCAAUAUUGUUAAUAAUUGUUGGCAUUAUUAUGCUGGGAACGGGGAUCAAACCCUCAACCUCCUUAGCACUCCACUUCUUAACUCCCCCACCUCAGUCACCAAACCAAUCUUAUUCUUAUAUCCAUUGGAUAAAUUGUUUGAUAAUUUGUAUGGCUAUAGGGAUUAUUUGACAUUAAAGCAUGACUUUUAUAUUUUCUUGCAAUUUAAUUUAUGCUAUUAUGAUAUGCUACUGUUUAUUUGCAAUUGUACAUUUGUAAAUAAACAGUAGCAUAUCAAAAUAAGAUGCAGUUUUUGUGGUCAUUCUAUUAAUCUCAAUCUCGAUAAGAAAGAGCUUUCUCCUGUAAUCAACGUUGGUAAUGUGAUUGUGAAGUGUAUUUAUUAAUAUGCUCUAUGCUCUAAGUAUAGCCCUUAAAUCCGAGUUGUCUAAUCCUACGUUUUUUCUGCAGUGUGAUGGCAUUAAACAAUAGCCCAACUAAGCUUCAUUUUCGAGCUUCUGUAUUUUCACGGUGGGAGUGCCUUGGAACACGAGAAAUAAUUGGUACAUGCUAAACCAAACAUACAUUAAGUAGUUAAGAACUUUUGUGUUAUAUGCAUCUGUUUUCGGACUUUGAUCCAAAAGUGUUGGAAUUAGAUUUCUAAAAUUGGUAUCAAUUAUAUUCUCAUGUUGGAUCCAAGAAAUUGUGAACUAAUGGUUAUUCCUUUAUAUAUUCUAAAUUGGUUUGUGAAUUGAGUGUUAGAUAAUACACAUUAGCAAGUCCUUUUGAUAGAAAUGAUGACUAGGUUGCUUAACCUUGGUGAUUUGAUACUAUUUGUGUAGUCUUUUGUUGAUUUACAUUUGUUUAUUUGUAU